UAAAAUUAGACACGCCAUUAAUUUUAAAAACCUAAACCAUUCACCAACUCUGGUAUAUACAAAUCUUAUUUACAAAGUAGCAUUUGGUUCGGGAACAAAGGAGGGAAUAAGCCCUUGUUUCCUUUUUUGUUUUCAAACGCAGCGUUUGGUACCUGAGAAUAGUAGUUUUCGAAUUCCUAGAACUAGUUGGUAUAAGGCUGGAACUGUUGUUCUACCUUUUUCCCGGAACAAGGUUGUUCCCGGAUGAGAACAAGGUUAAUUAAAGUAUAAAUUUAAUUUUAAUGACAGUAAAUUAUUAAUUAAUCUAAUUAAUAUAUUUAAAUCAUUAUCUAUUGCUUAAAUAAUAAAAUAAUUAAUUAUUUAUUUAUUUAUUUAUAAUUAAUUAUUUAUAAGUAGAUAAUAAUAAUUAUUAAUUUAUUAUUUAUUAAUAAAUAUUAAUAAUUAUUAUUCUUAAUAAAUAGAUAAUCGAUAUUAUUAUUAAUUUAUUAUUUAUAAUUAAUUAUUAAUAAUUAGAUAAUAAUUAUUAUUAAUUUAUUAAUAAUUAAUUAUUAAUAAUGAUUAAUAAUUAUUAUUUAUUA
rnacentral:lncRNA from 1 species